AAGUCGUAACAAGGUUUCCGUAGGUGAACCUGCGGAAGGAUCAUUACCACACCUAAAAACUUUCCACGUGAACCGUAUCAACCCAAUUAAUUGGGGGUUUACUUGGCGGCUGCUGCUGGCAUCUUUUUGCUGGCUGGCUACUGCUGAGCGAACCCUAUCAUGGUGAGCGCUCUGACCUCGGUUGGAGCUAGUAGCUUGAAUUGUAAACCCAUUCUUAAAUACUGAAUAUACUGUGGGGACGAAAGUCUCUGCUUUUAACUAGAUAGCAACUUUCAGCAGUGGAUGUCUAGGCUCGC
rnacentral:misc_RNA from 1 species